GAACGCGAAGAACCUUACCUACCCUUGACAUGCUAGGAAGUCCGCAGAGAUGUGGAUGUGCCCGAAAGGGAACCUGGACACAGGUGCUGCAUGGCUGUCGUCAGCUCGUGUCGUGAGAUGUUGGGUUAAGUCCCGCAACGAGCGCAACCCUUGCCAUUAGUUGCUACAUUCAGUUGAGCACUCUAAUGGGACCGCCGGUGACAAACCGGAGGAAGGUGGGGAUGACGUCAAGUCCUCAUGGCCCUUAUGGGUAGGGCUUCACACGUAAUACAAUGGUCGGUACAGAGGGUUGCCAACCCGCGAGGGGGAGCUAAUCCCAGAAAGCCGAUCGUAGUCCGGAUUGUAGUCUGCAACUCGACUGCAUGAAGCCGGAAUCGCUAGUAAUCGCGGAUCAGCAUGUCGCGGUGAAUACGUUCCCGGGUCUUGUACACACC
rnacentral:rRNA from 1 species